rnacentral:rRNA from 1 species
GACGAACGCUGGCGGCGUGCCUAAUACAUGCAAGUAGGACGCAGUUGCGAACGGGUGAGUAACGCGUAGGUAACUACCUAUUAGAGGGGGAUAACUAUUGGAAACGAUAGCUAAUACCGCAUACUAGUAGAUGUACCUGCGUUGUAUUAGCUAGUAGGUAGGGUAAUGGCCUACCUAGGCAACGAUACAUAGCCGGCCUGAGAGGUGGGACGGCCACACUGGGAAGGAGAAACGGCCCAGAAUCCUACGGGAGGCAGAAGUAGGGAAUCUUCGGCAAUGGGGGGAACCCUGAACGAGCAACGCCGCGGGAGUGAAGAAGGUUUUCGGAUGGUAAAGCUAUGUUGUUAAGGAAGCGGUACUUAACCAGAAAGGAACGGCUAACUACGUGCCAGCAGCCGCGGUAAUAC